AGCCCGGUGGGGUAGCGGCCAAGCCUGCGGGGCUCUGGCCCCCGUGACGCGGGUUCGAAUCCCGCCCGGGCUACCA
rnacentral:tRNA from 1 species